GACGGACGCUGGCGGCGUGCUUAACACAUGCAAGUUGAGCGAUGAAGUUUUUUCGGAAAUGGAUUAGCGGCGAACGGGUGAGGAACACGUGAAGAAUCUGCCCUCCACUUUGGGAUAACACAGGGAAACCUGUGCUAAUACCGAAUAUUGAAACAUAAGUGGCAUCACUGAGUUUUGAAAGAAUUUCGGUGGAGGAUGACUUCGCGGCCUAUCAGCUAGUUGGUGAGGUAAUGGCUCACCAAGGCAACGACGGGUAGCCGGCCUGAGAGGGCGACCGGCCACACUGGGACUGAGACACGGCCCAGACUCCUACGGGAGGCAGCAGUGGGGAAUAUUGGGCAAUGGAGGAAACUCUGACCCAGCGACGCCGCGUGCGGGAUGAAGGCCUUCGGGUUGUAAACCGCUUUCAGUAGGGAAGAAGCGAAAGUGACGGUACCUACAAAAGAAGCACCGGCUAACUAUGUGCCAGCAGCCGCCGUAA
rnacentral:rRNA from 1 species